ensembl:snRNA U6 U6 spliceosomal RNA
GUGCUUGCUUCAGCAGCACAUACACUAAAAUUGGAAUGAUACAAAGAUUAGCCCGGCCCCUGCACAAGGAUGACAUGCAAAUUCCUGAAGCAGUUCUAUAUUUUU